AAUUUCUAAAAUAUCAUAGUUUUCUCAUGUAGAAGCCAGCUAUGCCUUUGCCUAUUUUAGAUACCUCAUGUAAGCUGAAUGGUACAAUAUUUGUCUUUUUGUGUCUUGACAUCUCACUUAGCAAAAAUGUUUUCAAGGUCCAUCCAUGUUGUAGGAUAUAUCAGAAUUUUAUUCCUUUUUUGGCUGAAUAAUAUCCUACUGUAUGUACACACACAUUUUCUUUAUUUAUCUGGUGGUAAGUAC
rnacentral:lncRNA from 1 species